CAACAAUCGACUUGCACAAUAUUUUUACUUUGUCAACAAAGAUGACACACAGAGAAUAAAAAUUCGUCGACGAAGUCUACAACAUUCUUCACUGAUCUGAACCCUUCUGCAAUUUUUGCUUACUCUUCAAGAGUUCUUUUGUUUCAGUCGUUUAUUCUUGGAGUAAUUAUGCUUGAUUUUGUUUGUUCUAACUUUUUCGCAUGCCUUUCCAUCUUCUAGAACGACCUUUCCAUCAUUUUCUUUGUGCUUUUCUAUUUACGCUGCAAGCUUUGCUUCUGGCAGUAAGAGUUUUAAAAUUUCAUGUAAUUGAUUGCCAGAUGUCGCGCGCAAUGAUUUCGAUAUAAUAUGAUUAUUAUAAUGUUUAUGCAGAAAGUUUGUAUGAAAGGAAGACAUUUAACACAAUUACCCUAACUACAGAUUAUCAUCAAACAAAGAUUUAUGCUAAAAAAAUACACUUGAUUUGCAAUUAACUCAACGCUUGUCUCAAGGGCUUUCGCGCAGAUGCAGUUAGCGACUUACUAUAAUUGUAGUUGUAGUAAAAUAUAAAUGAGAUGUAUUCUACUGAUCCCCAAAAUGUUUUAAUAAAUCAUAUUUGUUGUCUCUUCUA